UUAAUUGAAGAGUUUGAUCAUGGCUCAGAUUGAACGCUGGCGGCAGGCCUAACACAUGCAAGUCGAGCGGUAACAGAAAUUAGCUUGCUAAUUUGCUGACGAGCGGCGGACGGGUGAGUAAUGCCUGGGAAUA
rnacentral:rRNA from 1 species